AUUAUUAAUAAGAUAAAAUAGAGUGGGGGCGCAAGUAUGGAGUCCGACUACAAUGCUAUCGAUAACACCAAACAUUUGAUACUAUUAAGUUUUCUAUCGUUAGAUCAUUCUUUUUGAUUAUUUUUAUCCGUUAAAUCAUAUUAUUCAAUCUUAAAGAACCACUAUUAUUCUAAUCAAAGAUCGCUUCAUCCACGAGUCGAAAACUAUACCAAUAACUUCUGUACUUUUUAGUUGGAUUACAGAAAAUAUAUUAUAACUGAUUUAUUGUAAUAUAUAGAAUGAGAUAAUGUAAUAUUAUGUACAAAAAUAAAUAUGAUAAUUUUACUUAAAGGUAUGAAUGACUUUCCUUUGGCGAGAUCUCAAUGUGCGCGCGUCAUGGACAAGUUAGGGCUGGGAGCGGGGCUUAUAAAAAUUAUCAAAUUUGAAUGUCUAAUUAAUAAUAUUAAAAAAAAAUCCUGGGCCUAUAAGCAAUAACUAACGAGUAUAUACCGCUUCAUUCCUUAUAUAUUUAUUUUUCUCAUAUCUUUUUUAUAUUUAAAUCAGCUUUUACUAGAGUUUAAAAUGAAAUUACGUACACUAGACUAUGUUAAAAAGCUCUCAUUUAUCUUGAGACCUAAUUUAUCUUGGGUCCUAAUUGUUUUCUUUUCCUCUUUCUUACUUUUGAAUAAAUAAAAAAAAAAGACUUAACAGGAAAAAUAUUGCUUGCAGAAAAAACCUCAUGUGGUCAUAUCUCCGGCAAUAGAGAGGACAAUUUAAACUUUCAAAUUAGGAUUAUUAAUCAGACAAAAAUUUCUAAAAGAAAACAUUUAAUAAAAGAUUAUUAAUAAAUUAAUAGUGUCGUAAUAGUGUUAAAAUAUUUGCUAGUUGUAGAAUUAGGAAAAAAAUAUUAUUAAAACUGAUCUGGGGAUAAAAGAGGUAUUAAAGUUUUGAUUAAUUAGUUUUAUAUUUAGGAAGGUAUCCAUAGAUGUUUAUAAUUUUGGAAGAAUAUUGAUAAAUUUUUAGAUUGUGAAAGCGAUAUCAGCGAAAUUACUGCAAAAAAAAAAAAAAAAGAAAACGAAAAAGAAAAAGAAAAGGAAAAAAAAGCUAAAAGUUGGAGACGACAACACCCACUGGGUGUGUCGGAAUCCCAGUUCCUCCAUGAACAGGCAAAGCACGAAUAAUAAAGCACGCCCAAAGCCGAGAACGAGAUCGGCGAGAGCUCAUCAAUCUCCAUUUCACGAAAUUAAGCAUCAAAACCCCCCAAAACACCGAGGAUUCGAAUUAGAUCCGAAUCAAAUCUCGGAGCGAAAUGGAUCGGAUCCUAAAAUCGGCGCGAGCUUCGGGAUCUCUCAACCUCUCCAAUCGCUCCCUCAGGUGCUUCUUCAUCUCAAUCCCCAUAUUAUCCCCUGAUUCAAAUUUAGGGGGCCGCUAAUUUAGUAUUAGCGAGAGCAAAAGAUGUGCUACAUUUAUGAUCUUUUCGCAAAAAAGUGAUGCUAAGAUCAUUAACAUUAAGACCAUCAUUUGGAUCAAAAUGUUUAAAUUUUUAAUAGAAAUGCAGGUUUAGCUUAAAAAUCUGAGCUUUUAUAUUGUCUUAGCAUUUCUUAAUUAUAUGUGAAAAAACUAUAUAUUACUCCUAUCUUAUGCCAUAUUAUGAAUAUAUGCAAAUUUCAUAAUUGUAUUUCAUAUCGCAUUUGCAUUUUCAUUCCAGCUUGAUGGCAAAAUCCAUCAUAUUUUUAGGAAACUUGUAAAAUUCAGAAGCAUUGGCCUUAAUUUCGUAUAAUUAUUGCGACAUUUUGCACGCAUUAUGAGCAUUUGUAUAAUUUUUUUGGUUUUUCACGUUCUUAAUUUCCUUAGGGAGGUACCUAAUGAGGUUUACAGGAACUUGGAAGCCGUUGGUGCCGACGACAAAUGGUGGGAGGUAUCAAUUUUUUCUAUUGUCCAUAUGCCAUAUGAAAUGCGUAAUCAAUACAUGAUUUUUUUUUUUUUCAAAUUUCGAUUUUGUCAUGACACGCUUGGAUUUUGCAGGCGGUCGAGUUGCAGAAGCUUAUUUUGGCUCAUAACAACAUUGAGGUUCUGAAAGAAGACCUGAGAAACUUAUCAUUGCUGUCUGUCUUAAAUAUAAGUCACAAUAAGCUGUCUUCUCUUCCUACAGCUAUUGGGGAGUAUGUAGCUUUCAUUCUUCUUUUUGUUUUUUCUUCUGAGUGCUUCGUUUACUCAGUAUCGUAGAUGAAGAUCGGAAUAUAGGAAUCAGAAAUAUUUGCUGUACUGCAUUGGAUUAGAACACCUCUUUUCCUUGUUGAUCAGGCUUCCCUUGCUAAAGUCCCUGGAUGUAUCAUAUAACCAGAUUACCAGCAUCCCCGAUGAGAUCGGGUCAGCAGCUUCUUUAGUUAAGUGAGUCCUUUUUUAAUUCCUUUUCUAAUGGCUUUUUGUAGGCAACGAAUAGGAAAUUUUGUUUUCAAUGAAACAACAUAAAUUGUGCAUGUAAAUCAUCAUUUUCUUACAAUGUCCUCUAUAUGCUUCGCUUUGUCGCUACUUAAUUCUUUCUACGUUAGGAUUUAAGUGCCUUGCCACAGGAUCGUACCGUAAACUUGCUGGCAUGGUAUGGCACAUUGCGUGCCAAGCUGUACCAAUGCGUGCUGAUCAUAAAGAAUACAUAUGUGCCGACGCAUAAUGAUAUGAAAAAUUUAUUUUCUUUAGCAACAAAAUUUUCUAGUUGCUUAUUAUGUAUCUUUAUCAAUUUUUUUGAACUUUAUUGAAAAAAUAACUUACUAAUUUAAAGUGAAAAGGGUUUUGAACUGUGCCAUCGGCACGGGGCUGUAUCGUGCUGAUAUCUUAUUGACAUGAUUAGGUACGGUAGAUACGGCACAUACCGAUGGAUACUUAAAUUCUUGUUUCUACGCAUAAGUAUGUGAGAACCCUGCUGUAACAAAUGUAAUUGAGGUUUAACUCAAUCCUCGCAGGCUCGACUUGUCAAGUAACCUUCUUAAGGAGCUGCCCAAUAGCCUCGGGAGGUGCUUAGAUUUAUCAGAGUUGAAGGUAAAUUUGCCUUUUAAUAGUGUUGUUCAUAACGGAAUGGAUAUGGAUGUCCUUUACUUGUUUGCUUUAUUUCCAGUUUGAAAUGUUUUGUCAAUGACAAUUCUAGAGCAGAUUCUGAUGAAUUCACCUUAUUAUUAGGCAUCUGACAAUUGCUUAGCCGGACUUCCCAAUGAGCUCGGCAACUGUACCAAGUUGAUGAAAUUGGACGUAGAGGUACUUUCCGCAAGUACCAUUUUGGUUUUCCGAACUUAUAAGCUGACUUUUAUUUUGAUACUUCACUAUGCUGUUCAAGUUCUUUCUUUUUUUCUUGCUGAAAUGUGAACAUUGACAUUUUAUAAUAUCUCAGGGAAAUAAGCUCACAAUGCUCACCGACAAAAUAUUCAUGCCAUGGACAAUGCUUACAGAACUAAAUGCAGGUAUCUGGAUAUAAUGACUUUAAUAAAUGUAAAUUAUCUCCUCCUACUUUUGCCUCUCAAAGUAUCCAACUUUCUGAUGAUUACAGCAAGAAAUCUGCUCACCAGCAUUCCCGAGAGCAUUGGGGUUCUUUCAAAAUUAAUUCGUCUGGACCUUCAUCAGAACAGUAAGAAAAAUCUGCUUGUUAAAUUGCAAUUUAUGGAGGUUUAAUUUGGGAUUUCUAUGUAUUCCCAUUUUUGGACUUACUAUGCCUUUUUCAUGUGCCUUUCUCCAGAAAUUUCAUCAAUUCCUUCUGCAAUAAAGGGUUGCUCUUCACUUGCUGAAUUUUAUAUGGGGUCUGUUCAAUCUUCCUGAAUUUUUGGGGGCUCUAUAACUUUACCAUGCAAUGAUUGCUUCAUAGCUCCUUAAAUCUCACUUCGAUAUGCUGUUUUGGCAUUUCAGAACCAACUCGCUAUCAACAAUACCACCAGAGAUUGGCGCUCUUUCUCACUUAGGGACUUUAGAUCUUCACUCAAAUCAGGUUAAUCAAUUUUUGCAUAUCUACUUUUAUAUUGAUUUUGUCAGCCCACUAGGCGCAGUGCUAACCUAUAAUAAUGGGAGAAUUCCCCCAGUUAAUUGUCUUGUAAUAAUAAUCACCUUUACAGAUCCUCUUAAGAGUUCAAUCCACAUGAAAUCCUUAUGGGUUAUCUUGGUGAAAUAUGAUACAGUAUAAUUAGUUCCAUACAUUUUAUAUGUUUCCAUCCAUGUGAAACAGUGAUUAGCUUCGGCAAUGUGAUUUCUUAUCAUUUUAUUAUACUAAAACUACUAUUUCCUGGUUGAUGAAUUGAUGGCCACCAGUUGAAGGAAAUUCCUGUGGAAAUGUGCAAGUUGCAGCUCUCUGUUCUUGAUCUGUCAAAUAAUUCAUUAUCUGGCCUGCCACCUGAGCUUGGUAUGUAUGCAGCUUCUCUUCAUCUAUUCUUUUUUUCUUUUUUUUUUUUGCAUAAUCUAGUGUCUGAAAUGAUCAAUAGAGCAAUGGAAGAGCUUGUUGAAGUAGGUGUGAAAAUUAAAUAAUAUGAUCAUUAAUUCAUUAUCGCACCAUAGCAUAGAGCAAUAAUAAAGUUGAGAAGGCUUCACAAAUAGUAGUUAUAGAACUUCUUAUGACUGAUUGUCAACUUCAAUUAGUGUAAGUUGUGGCUGAAUCUAGGUGUGCCAAAGUUCUCAAUGAAUGGUAUCGUGGAUGUCUGGAGAAUUUCCUGUCAUAGGCUACAUUUUGGCGUGGUGGUGGAAACAGCAUUAUAUGCGAACCUCUGCUGCUGCUGCAAAUUAAAUGCUCCCUUCACCUUUCUGAAAGCUGCUUGAAUUUAAAAUUUUGAUUUAUGUUAAUGGUCAAUUAAUUAAUUCAUAUAUAUCAUUACUAUCAAUUUAAGUACCUCAUGUCAGUAUAUGCUAACUGAUCUAUUGCAUUUUACAAGCUGGAUGAUUCAUUUUCUAAUUAUUGUUUCUUCAAUAACCUGUGUUUCUACUGAUAUGUGUUUUUCUAGUGCUGACUUUUGUAUUGAUCCUUUCACCAUGAGAUAAUUAUUAAUGACAUGAUACAAUUCUUAUUGACAUGAUAUCUUAUCGACGGUAUACUAUCUUCAAGGUACAAUGACUACCCUGAGAAAGCUUCUGCUGAGUGGCAACCCCCUACGAACUCUUCGGAGGUGUGUGUUGCAUUUUCUGUGAUUGAUCAACUGCUAAGUACUAAUAUCGUACUGAUGGUUUUUUUUUUCCUCUCUUUUCAAAUGGCAGUUCAUUGGUUUCUGGGCCUACACCAACAUUGUUGAAGUACUUACGAAGUCGACUCUCAUCGGAUGAAGAAGGUGCAUUGUUGCCUUCCAGUCGUCUCGUAAAUUUAUGUAUUCCAGUCCCUAUUUGUUCUUAUUCUGUCCCAGAUUUUUCUUAUUUCUUCCCAGUAAGUAAUUUUUAUAAUUUUCUUCUGCAGCAUCCGGAUCUACAGGCACUCCAGCAAAAGAUGUCGAAAUUGCCAUGGCGACAAGAUUGUCCUUGUCUUCAAAGGUAGAUUAUUUUUGUUAAAUUAAUUCCUUGUGUAGUCUCAUAGUACUUUGCUAAUUGGUUUACAGACAUGAAUAUUUUGUUUUAAUCUUCUGGGCAUUACUUUUUUCAUGCCUCAGGAAUUAAAAUUAACUGGUCUAGGAUUGACCAGUGUACCAUCUGCAGCAUGGGAGACAGGCGAGGUGGUCAAACUUGAUCUCUCAAAGAAUUCAAUCGAAGAGCUACCAAAUGAGUUGUCAACCUGCUCAAUGCUACAGGUGUGAAAGAUGUUUGAAUUUUAAAUGAAGAGACAUCAUUUUACACAACUGAUUUCUUGACAGAACAUAAAAUUUAGCUGAAAAGAAUCAGUCCUGUAUUUAUUAGUGUAUUAUGAUUGGUAAUAUCUGAUGUCCAUUGCAAAUUGAGAAAAAAAAGAAAAUUCUCCCACUCAGUGUUCUCCUGUAUAUGUUGAAAGAAUCUUUUUUUCGUACUUGAUUGCUUCUUUGGAAGCCUUCCUAACAAAAAUUUGUUCCCUUGUCUAGCUUUAAACCUUGAUGCCGAGAUGGCUUAGUAUGUACUUCUUGGUAAAGAAAUGAACCAUCUUCUGUGUUUACAUCCUUCUCUGUUAGGAAAGAGCUGUUGGUAAAAUUAUGCUCUAUAUUCUCACAGUACUUCUUUUAGGGAAACAUCAGCUCAGAGUUUUGUUCGUUUUGUAAUUUAACAUCAGAAGUUUUUCCAGAAUGGUUGGAGCUAUUAAUCCAUAUAACCUUAUUUUUUUCAGGUUUUGGUUUUGUCCAACAACAAAAUAAAAGAAUGGCCUGGAACAGUACUAUCCUCUCUUUCCAAUUUCCAGUGUUUGAAGCUGGACAAUAAUCCCUUGGCUGAGGUACUAGAACCUUAUUGUUGUCUUUUAUUUGUGUUUAUCUUUCAUCAUCUUUUUUAACCACUGGUCAAACUCUCAGCUGGUGUAAGAGGUUAGGCUAAAACAUCAGUAUACAACAAAUCUUACUCGAAAAUGUUUAACUACUAUACAACUAACACACCAUAACUUAACCGAGUCAAGCCUUAUUUAAUAAACAUGAAUCAUUCUAGCAACCCUCACAAUAUCCCUUGUUCUCAGAUUCCAUCUACUGGUCUUGAAGUCCUCUCAAAGCUUGAAAUACUGGAUUUGAGCUGCAAUACGGCUUCCUUGCCAGAUCCUUCCGUGAUUUCUAAAUUGCCUCAAUUGCAAGAAUUAUAUCUGAGGUUGGAAUAAAUUAUAAAGCAUCUUAGUAUACUAGAAAUAUCUCUUAGCAUUUUUAAACUGACCUUCUCUGAACAGACGAAUGCAGCUGGGCCAAUUCCCGACUGGUUUAUUGUGCUUAAGGGGGCUACGGAUUCUUGACUUAAGCCAGAAUUGCCUUGUAACAAUCCCUGAGGUAGAUCUCUCUUGUAAUCGGUAAUAUUUAUGAAAUAUGAAUUCAUUGAUUACACCCGGUCAUGUCAGCUAAUGCUAGAUAUUUCGGUUGAUCUGAUUACUCGAGGGUAAAAACUUGUGGAGAGUCCCUGUACUUUUGUGACAUUGCAUUCUGGUCCCUGGACUCAUGUUUGUCACCCGAAAUACCCAACUCAGUAGAGGCGCACACUCAGUACACGAGCUUUUUCUGUAAAAAGACCAUUAUAAUCUUCUUUUGUAAAAUGGCUUCCUUUAUGUGAAACCGCUUUAAGAUGCUCAUUUUGCAGAGCAAGCGUUGCAUACUGAGCUCAUGAGAUCAUGAAUUUUGGUUUUUUGGAAGGAGCGCUCUGGUUGAAGUGAAGUCCAGUAUCUUGCGAAGUUAUAGUGACUAACUGGCUAUUGUACUUACAAUUAUGCACCAGCUAAUAAUUAACUUGGUUACUGAAGAAAUAAAUAUGCACGUUUGCUUCAAGUUUCCUGAUCACUGAAAAGAAAAAGAAAGAAAAUUGGUGUCCGUACUUAGCGCUUGAUAUCUAGGUGUUAUCUGACAUGUCUGCCAUUGUCCUGAUUAAAAACAGGAAAUCAAGGAUUUGACAUCUCUUACUGAACUUGAUCUCUCCGAUAACAACAUUGCCGCACUUCCCCCAGAGCUGGUUUGUUUUUCCGUGGCUUUACUUUUUUCCUUCUUUCAUUAGCCCAAGAUAGCAGUUUUCAUAUCAUUUAGGCCCUAUUCGGAUGCGUGAGCAUCUUAUUAGGGAUAUCUCUUUGAUUUACCAGAGAAUAAUAUAGUAUUUGAUAGAUGAGUAGUGUGAUCAAAUGUCUAAAAUUAAUACCAUUUUCGACUGUCAAAUCAUUUUAGUGGAAUAUGAUAAAUCACCUCAUAGGUGAAAUAUGCUAUCCUACUAAUUUAUGGACGACAAAGCCUUUUAAGAAGCAAAAAUCAAGCUCCUAGAUUCUAAUCACGCAAGAAAAUCUUUAUACGAAUAGGCUAUUACCGAUAUCUUAUUCUGACAUCCAAACAGAGCCUCAAUGAUUUCAUAAAAUAAUAGCUGGGGUAGAAUGUAUGGUGCACACUACAUAGAAAAGUUGGUCAAGUGGAGAUUAAGCUUAUAAUAAUUUCCUCCAUUUCAAAUAAACAUAUUUAUUUUGGUAACUUAGAUUAGAAUACAUCAUCCAAGUUCUUAUGCAUUUUUAUCCUUGAAGACAAGCCUGAGCUGUUAAAUCAACAUACUGAUAAAGUUGAUUUAUAAAAUGAAUACUGCUAAUGUAUUAGGCUUGUAAUAAUUGACGAUAACGAGUAUUAACGAUCAUUUCUCAAGAUCUCAUGCAUCUUUAUACUCAUCAAACUAAGACAAUCUAUAUAACUUUUGAGAACGCUAUUACUUCGGCUUUUGAGUGUGCUUAUGACUAAACUUUUCUGAGCAGGGUUUACUCGAGCCCAACCUACAAGUCUUGAAACUCGAUGGGAAUCCAUUAAGAAGGUGAACAUGAUAUUCUUCUCUUUUCCUUUUUGAAUGAUCAGUUCUCAUUUUGACGAGAGUAAAAUUAAGGUUAUCCCCUUAGAUCCUAGAAAGGCCUUUUGGCCCAGUUGGAGCCCUCUAUCAGUGCUGUAUAUGUAUAGAGCAGUUUUAAGCGGACAGCUACUCACUGCACCGGAAGGAAAAGUUUCUAAUUAGAGCUUCUGCUUCGGGCUUAAAAAUGCAAUUGAGCUCCUUGCCAUAGCGAAAGCAAAUUAUUAAAUUUGCAAAGCACUUGUUGCUACUUUUCUGAGUAGAGAAGCUACCGUAAAAGCUGGGGUAAGCUCUCUAGAAUCAAAAGGCAUCUAAAUUUGGUAGGAGCAUUGAUUAAGUUGAAAUUACUGGAUUAAUUGAGUUUUAAUAGCCGUAAAUACUGUUUUGUCCUUGAUGUUACAUUUGCUCUACCAAAAAAAAAAAAAAAAAAAAGGGAUUAGUGGAAUGCUUCAGAGCAAAGUAAUUAGAGCUGUUAAACAAUGUAUUGCUUCUUUUCUGAGCGGUUCUUUUCUCUACUUUUGCAGCAUUAGGCGCACUAUCUUGGAUAAAGGAACAAAAGCAAUUCUCACGUAUCUUAAAGACAAAUUACCGACUCAGUAGAUUUUAUGGUUGCGAGUUGUAUAAUUAAUUAUUUCUAUCUGUACGACAAAUUUUUAGUGCGCUAUAUUAAAAAAAAAUUGCGGAAAAUAAUGGAAGAUGUAAAGGGGUUGUUAGUGCUGUGUAUUGAUGUUUGAUUUAUGUUGUUUGUUGUGGAGAAAGAGGUUUCACGAUGAUUUGAUGUUGUAAUAGUUUUCUACGUGAUGUUGUAAACGUUGUGCGCUCUAAAAUUAAUUAGUCUAAAGUUUUAAGUAUUUACUCAUACUCCUCGUGCACUCGUGCCUACUAUGCCAAUAAAAUAUGUAACAUUUAUAUCGAUUAAUUUACUCAAAAUCUUCUUUCUUUAAAAAUUAGUAAAUAGUUAUUGAAUAAAAAAUUUGAUAAUAAUAAACAAUUAGAAUAUAUUGAUGCUAAAAUAAAUAAAUAUUUUAUAUCAUAGUGUAUUGAUAUAUACAGUAUUUUUGUGAUUAGGAUACACACAUCGUAUCAUAUCAUGCUAGUAAGGCUAAGGCGAGCUUCGACGGUAUUAAAGCUCGCAGCCUCAUCUGUUUUUUAGACAUUACAAUCUAAUCAAAUAUUACUGCCAAAUAUGAAAAUAUUUUAAUUAUUAUCUUUUUUUACCAUUUUUUAUCAUAAAUAAAUUCCUAGUCCUGAUUAUCCAAUUAAAGUUAAAACACCAAAAUACUAAAUCAGCCUUCUUAUUUAUAAUUCUCCCAAUAGUUUACAGACAUAAUUAUCCCUAUCUAAUAGAAUCGUUUUUUUUUUUUUUCACUUUUUACUAUUAAUAGAUAAAUUUAUUAAAACUUAUUUACUGUUUAAUGAUUGAAUUUAAAUUCAUAUUCAAAAAAUCUAAUCGCUGUUCAAAUUGACUAAACUACCCCUCAGUCGCAACUUAACCAUCUUCAUAACUGUUCGCUGAUUGAUCCACGUCGCUCAGUGGCAUUUACGUUAUUUCACUCUUCUCUGGGGCUAAAUAUCUGCUGUGGAGAUUUUAAUGAAUGCGAAUAAGAUGGGGUUUUAAUCGCAACCUAAUGAAAAUUUCCACGACAACCAAAAUCCUCGACGCCCAUCUCCACUCCCCGCUCCUUCCACCAAUCAGAAUCCCUUAUUUUGUCGGGCCCACAUAGAGUGUCACAGAGGAAACAAUAUGCACCUGGUACACCAGUAUAUAUAUCAUGCACCAUGUUAAUAUUAUUUGAGGUGAAAUAUAUGGAGACCCCCUCAACAAAAAGGGCUUUUUUGAAAUAACUGUCUCUAUUUCACCAUUUUUUUUUUCCCAUUAGCAAUCUUUUAAUAUCUAUUUUUUUUCUUUCAAAAUUUUUAAUUAUUUAGUUUUUUUAGAUAUAUAAAAUAUAGAAUUUAUCUAAAUUAUAAGCUAUUUUGAGUUGACUAUCUAACUUCUAAAAUUUUAAUUGUACUAUUCAAUCUUUCAAACAAAAUUAAUGAUAUUUUGAUUUUAAAAUUUAAGCUAAUUACUUGCUUAAAUAAAUUUAUAGUUGUAAAAAUUAUAUAAAAUAUACUAAAUAAAUUUGUAAAGAUAAAUGACACAUUUAAAAUUUGAAGUUAAAGUGCUAUUGAUUGACUCGAAUAAAAUAAAUUAAAAAAUUAGAUAGUAAAAUCAAAAUUUUGAAUGGUUGAAUAAUUGAUUCAGAAUAAUUUAUAAUUUUAAUUUGAGCAAUACUUUCUGUACAUCCAAAAAAAUGAAUAUAAAUCUUAAAUUCUAUUGAUCCAAGGAUUAUAUUUUUACACUAUUUUAUUGACUUUUUUAAUUAAAAAUACCACGCCACGUUUUUUAGAAGUAAAAAUAUUAUUUUUCUUCUAAUUUUGAGAUGUAUGUGAAAAGAGUUUCAAAUGCACGGUCUACGGGGUGCACGUGGUGCACGGAACAAUCCUCUUAAGCAUCCCUCGUACAAUGCGGUACAUGGUCUUCGACGUACACGUGGCCAUAGUGUUGUUCUCACUCCAUCUCCUCACUAUAUUAAACUAUUACUGCACAAUAACCGCGUCGCCUACUUUUUGACGCGCGCCACCGCCACGUGGCGUCCACGGAGCCCUUCUUUUCCGCGGGUUCAUGUCACGGCUCGCCUCCCUUUGUACGCAACGAACCACUGUGGAAGCACCGAAGAGGGGGCGAUCCUAGGGCUCCGAGAAGGAUCCAGAAGCUAGGGUUUCGAGGGUUUCCGAACGGGAGGGGAAGGGGGAGGGGGAGGGGGAGGGGGAGGAGCCCGGCGAUUUAGGGUUUCGAUCGAUCGCUUGAUGAGUAGUUGCGGCUCCGUAGCGGGAGAUGUUCUUCGUUUCCAUGCGCAAAUCGUUCAAGGACUCCCUCAAGGUCCUCGAAGCCGAUAUCCAGCACGCGAACUCCCUGUGAGUCCCCACUUUCUCGGAAGGGAUCGCUCGUUUUCCUUUUUUUGUUUUUUGUUUAAAUGAUUUGAAUUUUUCUCGGGUAGUUCCUGGAUUGCAAUUACUGUAAUCGGGAGUUGGGAAGUGUGGUUUUUGAUCGCUGGGAGUCGUUAAUUUCUGUUCAAAGGGAAACAGCGACAAAAAUCGCUCGUAAAUUUGUUGUCUAUGAACUAAAUGUUAGCUCUCUAGGUUCAAUUUUGUCUCAGUAUAUGUUGAUCCUUGAAAUUCUCGGUUCCGUAAAGUAAUUCAUGCAACAUUUCUCCUUUUUUCAAUUUUUACUUUAUAUUUUGAAGCAUAAAGGUAGUAAUGAACUGAUAAUCUAAUCUAAAUUUGGCGUGAUUUGCAGAAUAAAUCUCUUAAAAUUAUUUUUUUUUUUCCAUCAGUAUGAAAUUGCACCUGAGAUAGUAGUGCUUCUAACUUAUUAAAAUUUUGCUAAUUGUGGUGCUCUAGGGCUUCGGAUUUCCCAAGAGAAUAUGAUGGAGCUUGCCUUCAGAUGCGGAUGUCCUACAGCCCCGCCGCACACUUGUUCCUUUUCCUGGUGCAGUGGACUGAUUGUAGCCUUGCCGGGGCUCUCGGGCUGUUGAGAAUCCUAAUUUACAAAGUAAAUCUUUACUUCGUUUUUGAUUUCGAUGUUGCAAUGCAAUUUCAUUGUAGUCUCACUGUGUCCUUUUCGUGCAGGUUUAUGUAGAUGGAACAACCACCAUGUCGACCCACGAAAGGAAAGCGAGUAUUAGGGAAUUUUAUGGUACACUAUAUUUUCGCUGUUGAAUUCAAUUUGUGUUUGAGGUUCUUAUGGUGUUAGUUUUCGCAGCUGUGAUAUUCCCCUCGCUGAUGCAAUUACAUAAAGGGAUAAAUGAUAUGGAGGAUAAGAAGCAGAAGGCCGUGUGUAUCGAGAGGUAUCGAAGAAGAGACGAGGAUGAGAGGUGGCAUUUCUCGGAGAUCGAUGUUGAGAGAGAGGAUGAAUGUGGGAUCUGCAUGGAGACGAACAGCAGGGUCGUGCUCCCGAACUGCAGUCAUGCUAUGUGCAUGAAGUGCUACAGAGAGUGGUAGAAAUUUCAAUCCAUCUCAUUCUCUCCUUGUCUAAUCUAUUACACCCUUUAGUUCCAUUUUCUUGAAAUUGCAGUAUCGGAAGGUUCAUGGUGAACUAGGUUGUAAUUUCUAGUAAAGUUAUUCUAUAAAUAUAAUGCUCUUAUAAUGAGAACAUAGAUGCAUUUGUUUUUGUGCUUUUGAUACUAUGCUGCUCCUUAUUUGCAUAUUCAACAUUGGAUGUUGGAUUUACUUGACUUAGCCCUUUCAAUCUAAAUUUGCUUAUGUAAAAAUGAUUCUGCUCAGCAACUUUCUGAAAUGUAAGAAAAGUUUGAGAUAAGCAUUUGCUUGUGCUAUGUAUUGUUUUCAACAUACUCAGUGAUAGUGGGUCGGAUAUGAGAUAUCACUCUCUCAAAUUAUAGACUGCCUUGGAAAGGCCGGCUUGGUACGUUCUGCUUGUUUUUUAAAGCAUGACUGCUUGCUUUUGAGAGUUAGGAAUAUAAGCCUGAGCCAAAAGGGUCAGAAGCACUAUAUUCUCUUCUAUCAGUGCUUUGUGGUAAUGUAGAUAUAUUUUAUCCAUAUAUGCAAUCAGAGCCGAAAGUAGCUUAUUAUCACGCACAGGAUUAAUGCCUUUUCUUAUGGAAGCUGAAGGGCUUCUAGAAUGAAUUAUGUAUCAGUGUUGGUGAAGAAAGUAAUGGUUAUACUGGAGACCAUUUACUUACGCGAUGUAUGGGUGAAGCAUAUAUUAUUAUAGGCUGUACAAGCACACUGUUUAUCAUCUAUUUCCCUUUACUUCAAAACGGCCCCGAGAACAAGCAGUAGCAAACCUGUGUUAAUAAUGGACUAUUAUGCCUUCUUGUAGUAUGUUGACUUGCUUUGUACAUGCUAUUUCCUCGUGUGCGAUUAAUUGUAGGUUUUGCCUUGAAUAGGAUCUCCUUUUGCUGUGGCUGCACCAAGAACGACUGAGAAAAAUACGCAACUUCCUAAGUCCUGCACCAUUGCAUCAACCUUCUCAUUAACAUUUCUGACUAAAGUUACAACGUCCUUUUAACUGCAGGCGUUCACGGUCGCAAUCGUGCCCGUUCUGCCGCGACAGCUUGAAGAGAGUAAACUCGGGCGAUCUAUGGAUAUUCACUGAUGGCAGAGACAUAAUCGACAUGGCGACAGUGACGAGGGAGAAUCUGCGGCGUCUCUUCAUGUACAUCGACAAGCUCCCUGUCGUCAUCCCAGACUCUGUAUUGGAUUCCUAUGAUUCUCAUGUAAAGUGACCGGAACGAGUAUCAUAUGACUUCCUCCUCGUCGUAACUCAGAAACAAUUCUUUCAGCAAGUUUCUGCUAUCUGAUUGGCGGAAGUUCCUCUGGAGCUGCUGCUAAUAUUUAGGCAGCUUAUUUGACUUUUGAGGAGACUCUUCUAGCAGGGAAGGUGCAAUAUUGUGCUCGGCUUUUGUAAAUAGUUGUACAGGUGGUAAGUUGGUUCUGUAUAUUGGAAAACCAAACCUUUCUCAUCAUGCUGAACUUUCUAUUGGGUAAUUAUUAUAUAGUUAAAUUCAGGAUAUUUCAUGUGUUUAAGGCUUCUGUUGAACUUAACUAUCAUUUAAAAGCAUCUGCAUGGAGGCAGAGUUGUAGAUGGUUGUAAUAUUUUGGUUUCAAGCAUGGUGUUUACAACUCUUCAGCUUCUGCGCGAACUCGCCUUUUUUGAUCUUUUUUUUCUUUUUGUCUUUGCUGCUUGAUGCUCUUUCGAUUCGGCUGUGGUUUCGGAACGAUAGUGAUUUGUUCAGGGACAUGAAUAAAAAGGGAAUUGGGGUUGUUUUCGAAAACUCGAAUCAAGGUUAGAAAAAUAGAAAAAAAGAAAACAAUAACAAUUUGUUCUAACGCAUGAAAAGGGUUUUUUUUUUUUUUUUGGGUUUGAGAACAAGGUAGGUAGCUAGCUAUUUGCUUUAUUUAUUAAGUGAAAUGAACUAAGCUUAUAAAAUAAAAGCAGCUAAUGCUUUCAAAAGAAGAGAAAAAAGGCAGCCCAAAAAGGAAGAAAAGGAUAAAGUAAAAGAAGAAGCACGAAAAAUAAAUCAAAUAAACAAAAAAGAUGUUGGCGGAUUGUGACUGUCUUAGGUCAGCAGCAGUUUCUGAUUAGCAGAAAUUUCUCCAGUUGCUUAGGUAAAGUUUCUGAUUAGCAGAAAUUACUCCAGUUGCUUAGGUAAAGUUUCACGCGAGCCAGCGAGUGAGUCUUCAUGGAUUGGGGGUUCUCGAUUGGAAGAUAAAGUUGUUUCUCUCGGUCCAGACUACCCACCAUAUACCUGACAGUAAGGACAAUUCUUUUUUCCUUUUCUCCGCAUCUGCUAGAUUGAAAGUUCUUGUCCAAAAUUCUCGCGCAUCGUCCAGGAACACAUGAAAAGUAUUAUAAGAGGUUUAAUGUCGUUGGUUUAUUCUAGGUACCAAGACUAUUUUGUUAUCAACAUACCAUCAAAACAGAGAAAAACAUAUCUUCAUAGGAGUUUUUUACUCCAAUUCUAUUUUGUUUAGUAAUAAUAGUGUAAUAACUAGCUUUUCACCCGUGCGCUGCACGGCUAAUAUAAUAAUAUAAAAUAAUAAAAAUUAUUACAUAAUGAUAAAAAAAAUAUUCUAAUUAAUAUUAUAUUCUUUUAACAAAUAAAAAAAAAUACUAUCAAUCAGACUUAUAGUACAUAUUAAAGUACAAAAGCUAGAGAAAAAAAAUUAUGGACGAAAGUAAAUACUCAAGUAAAAAGUAAAAUUCAACCAUGCUCUAUUAUCUAUGAAUUGAUGUGCAAAAUAAUUUACAUUUACAUAUUGGUGUGCAAAACAAAAUGAUAACUAAAAUUGAUAUGAAAAAUUACAAAUGACAUUAAUAUUUAAGUUUAUAAUGAGAUUAACUAAACUUUCAUAUUUGACACAAAUUAGAGUAGGCACACGUAUAUUAUUUCCCUACUGUCACUUUUAAGAUUCAAAAAUAUAUAGAUGUUGGUGUUCAAGAUAAUAUANUAAUUAUUUUCUAAUUUAUUUACUAUAUACUAUAUUUGAAGAUGACACGUGGCAAGUCUAGAAGGUGCCACGUGUCAGUUUUAUACGAAGUAAUCACCCAGGAUUCUACUUUAGUAUAUAGUAAAUAGAUACUGAGCACAAUACUAAUGGCCCCCAUUAACCCAAUACUAAGUGGGCCAAAUUCGGCUUACUAAUUAAAACCGAGCCUAUAAAUUAUUGAGGCAACAAGCGAGACUCGUUCGAUUUCUUUUGAGUUUUAACCUUCUCCUCCCCUCUCUCUGGCCUCUGCUCUUUCUCCUCCUCUCCCCGAUAAAACCCCACCCUCGCGGAGUGCCGGUGCUCUUCCUCCUCCUCCUCGAUCGUCCACGCCCUCGUCGUCGUCAUCCGCCAUUAACGAGGCCCGGAGGAGGAGGAGGAGGAGGAGGAGGGGGAGGAGGUAAAGAUGCCGCAGGUGCGGAUCGUCCCGAAGAACUUCAUGGACUUGGUGGCGGCGCUCCCCGCCGCCAAGCUCGACAAGCUUUACGACAGCGUCUUCAUCUGCGAAGCCGUUCUCAGGUUCCCUCUCUCUCUCUCUCUCUCUCUCUCUCUCUCUCUCUCUCCCUUGGAUCCACUGUUCAAGUGUCUCGUGAUCGAUCAACUUGUUCCUAAAUUUGGAUUUGUUGGGUAGGUUUCGUGGAUUAAAUGAGGAAUCGAUUUAAAAUUUGGUUUUGUUGGGUAGUUUUCGUGGAUUAAACGAGGAAUUGAUUUAAUUCUCCUAUAUUUCAAGUGGCGCUUGAUUAUCCAAUUUGUACAAGUCGUGACCCCGCUUUACGUUCUCAUUUUUCAUCCUUUUCUUAUACUGGCAAAAGCUUUUUAUGCUGGUAUAGGCGCAUCUGUUGAUUUGAACUAUGAUUAUCUAGUUUCCACUCAUUACAUUGUUAAACUUGAAUGCUAAAGAGUAUUAAUUAGCUCAAUUUCUCAGAGAAAGUUUGAUUUUUUUUUUUAAUUCUUUUUUAAUUGUAGAUCCUUGCCACCUUUGGCUAAGAAGUAUGUUUUGCAAAUGCUGUUUAUUGACUUUCCUGUAACGGCAAAGUCGAUGGAAGAAUGGGUGCUCGCAGAUGGAUUAUCCAAGCACAAAGUGGCGAUUGAUAGGUUGCUUCAGCUUCGAGUUAUUCACGAAGUAAGCGAGAGGUACCUCCUCACAUGUUCUUUUGCCCAUACUAUCUAUUGUAUUUUAUGUUUGCUUCACCGUUUGUGUUCGAUGAUCUUUUGUUUUCUUGGGUUCGCAAGUAUUUGCACCUGAAUUUGCUUUAUUCCUGCUUUUACACUUUUGUUGUACCGUUUCUUUUAUGUCUUUUAAAAUUUCUUGACGUUACAUAAGCAAUUAGAGUAGCUAUAAAUUUGAUCUAUUAGGGCAGUUUUCUCUGCAUCAAAAAGGAAAUUGUCUUUUCCUUAGUAUAUCUCGUUUAUUUCACUAACAGGAAAAAGGAGACUAGUUAUAGGAUGAACCCAAAGUUUCAGAAGAAUUUGCAGCAGUACUUGACGCAUGGGUAAGUAUUCGUGCUCAAUAUUCCAAGUCUCUAUUGCCGGAAACGACUAAUUUUUUGUAGUUCUCACUUAACACAUCAGUAAAGCUGAAUGGCCAUAUUGAACAUUUCCUGCACAAAAAUUACAUUACGCUAAAGACAUAUUUCAGAAAAUUUUGUAUUAGUUCUAUUCCAAGAGGAUAUUUCAUUGUGUUCAACUCUGUUUAACUGAAACAAUUAUGUACUAAUGUCUAUACAGAUGAGCUUGCCUCUCAAGUUGUCUAGUCGUUGAUGGUAAUACGGUCGUCUAUGAGACUCCAAUAAACUUCUGACCAUUUUUAUUGUAGAUAAGAUGGAUAAGAUGGAUAGGUCUUAUUUGAUUAUCUAUAAAAUCUGCAUUCAAUGUACCUGGUGCUUAACAAUGUAAAUACCUUUGUGCAGUUAUGCUUCUAACCGAUAUUUGGAUUCUAUUUCUAAACUGGGAACAUGUUAUAAUUGUAUAGUGUGUUUUUUAAGUGCAGUGGAACUCUACCAAGAGAGCCAAUGCCUCCAAAUGUCACUGUGAGGUUGCCUACGCUGGAGGAUCUAGAGGUCUAUGCACAUCAACAAUGGGAGGUAACGAUACUGUCAUGGUGUGCUUUUGGUUUGUUCUUUAGUCUGUUCCGUGUAAGCUCUUUGUAUUGUUAAAUUUUUGUUUCUAAAUCCUCAUUUUAGUGAUUGAUAAUUUUUUUUGUUUCUUAAUCCUCCUUUUCUGGUUUGAGAAAUGGUAAAAGUGUACAAACUUUAUCCAGACUUUAGCCUACUUUGAAAUGGACAUCUCAACUUGGAAAUUUUGGUUUUGCUACUAACAUUUCAUUACAUUUGAUUAUAGAAAAUUCCAUCAAAUUCUGUUACAAGUUAAUGUUUCUCUCAAAUAAAAAUGUAGAAUAUUCCAUCAAGUAAGAGAAUACUCUGUUAGAUUGCAGAAUAUUCCAUUAAAAAAAAAUGUGAAAAGUACUAAUAAGUUCCAAAGAGAAGAUAGUAAAUCGAAUACACUAAAACUUUAGGUUGUAAAGUCAAAAUUAUAAAGUCAAGGUAUACAUUUUAAGAUGUGCUAUCGUUUAGGAAAGGUCUAUAUGAUUUUACCUUGAUAAAAUAUCUCCCCUUAUAAAUUUCCGUUACCUAUUUAUAGUAAAUUGUGACUGGUUUUCUGGCAAAUCCAGUGCUUCUUGCUACAACUUAUAAACUCAUCUCAAGCAGAAAGGUUGACAAGCUUCAGCUCAUCCACGAUGAGAGUGUUCCAGCGAGGCCUUUUGAGUUCAAGGUUCUGGUUUAGAGACUUACCUCGCUUUGACUGUCACAUGUUCUGUAUCAUGCUGCUUCUGUUAGAUGAUAGUAUUACAAGAAGUGCAAUUAUGUAUACAUACCCGCACGGCUAAAACUGUUUGUAGAUAACAACCAAGUAUUUCCUGUUACUGUCUUGUUUAAAAUAUUCGCUCUGUCAUGAGUAUCAAUUUAAGUAAUUUUUGCUAGACCUAGACCAAUAAUCAAGAGAACUCUUUUGUUACAUUAUUCCGAAAUUAUUGGUUUAAUUAUCAAUUGAUGUAAGGGGGCAUCUCUCUUCAUUGCUUUGGUUCCUUAUUUGAUCACAUCAUGAAUGCUCUAAAUCACAAUGAACAAUGGACGAUUUGAAUUUAUAUGUCAAUCAUGUGGUUUUGUCUACUCAGAAACAACUAAGUUACCCAAAAAUUUUGAGCUGUCCAUACGUGGUUUUGCCUAUUCAGAAACAACUAAAUUCCCCAGAAAAUUUAAGCCGUCCAUGUCUAUGUUUGCCCAAUAGAUGCCUAUGUCUGUAUGUAUGCACAUUUGUUUUUAUUACUAGGCACAGAAAGAUGUCUGUUGGUUGGUGGAUAUGUGGAUACGUCUAUGACAGUAUGUAUGGGUGUCUUUGUGUGUGUGUGUGUGUGUGUGUGCGCGCAUGUGUGUCUGUGUGAAAGAUUUGCACAUGUGUGUCUGUGUGAAAGAUUUUAUGUUAAACCUAUCAAGCUGUAAAACCACAUGAACAAAACAGAGGCAGCUGUACUCUUGUGUGCUAAAAAGUCCUUGUGUGUUGCAGGGAAAAUGAGGCUCCCAAGUUAACCGAGAAUGGCUUCCAGUUCCUUGUGCGUGUCACUCAAGAUUAUUUGUAAAUUAAGCCUCAUGUUUUGAGCCUUUCAUGUAUAUUCCUUUUGUAAACAGCUCAUGGACACCAAUGCGCAACUUUGGUACAUAAUAAGAGAAUAUAUCUCAACAUCAGAGGUAUAACUAAUGUACACUCUUAUUAGUUUGGAUUGUCAGUAUCACUAAUGUCUUUAUUUAUGUGGGCUUCUAGUUGUUUAAAUUUUCUUCCCACAUGGUGCAGGAUCGUGGAGUGGACCCGACAGAUUUGAUAUCAUUUUUACUCGAGCUUAGUUUUCAUACUUUGGGAGAGGUAGUAUUAUAUGCAAAGUUCAUCAAUAUUUUAGUUUUUAAUGAGCUGUUUAUGUGACUUUCUUAUUGUUAUGUCUUGAUUUUUUUGGUCGGGGCUAUAGUCUAAUCAAUUUCUAGGAACGGUAACCUUUGAAGGUUGCCUUAUAUAACCUAUGUUGAUGAGUUUGUAUUACAGCUGCUACUUGUCGCAGUAUUAUGCUGUGCUAAUUGCAAGUUCUUUUAUGUUCUUGGCGAUAAUUAGUCAAGUUAUACUACUAUGUUUAAUUGCAGUUUUGCAUAAUUAAUACUUUGUACUUUUCAUCAAUAUACUAAUGAUUGUUCGCUCUCAUACUCUAGGCUUAUAACUUGAAUACCCUCACGGAUGUUCAAAGAAAUGCUAUCAAGGACCUUGCUGACUUGGGAUUGGUCAAACUUCAGCAGGUGAAAGUUAAACUUCUUGUCACUUUUCUUGGUCAAUUAAGGCACUUUUGUGUUGAAGUCCUAACAUUCUUAUAUUAUAGGGAAGAAAGGAAAGUUGGUUCAUACCUACUAAAUUGGCUACGAAUCUUUCUGUGAGCUUAACAGAUUCGUCGUCACGCAAGGAGGUAUUAAUUUAUUAUCUUGCUUCUAUUCUUGAACACAAUUUAAGAAUGUUUUUGUUAUUGUGUGGACAAAAAUAUCUAAUAUCUUGAGGCAAUUCUUCACCAUAUAUUAGUUCGGAUGCUCAAGUUUUCUGCUUGUUAGUUUUGUAUUUAGGGCUGUUGUUGUCUACAAACAACAGCUCUGUAUUCAAUAGUAGUAACUGAAAAGAUUUUGGAAUGAGUUCUAUCAAUGCUCUGAUAAACUUGAGAAUGCGAGGAUAGAUCUCUGAACACAAACAAAAGGUUGGUCAAAUUGGGGCUAAAGUAAGUUUUAGAAUUAUGUGAAAAUUGUGACUAAGAAAGUUAAGCAUGUAAUUAGAAUUUUUUUUUGCAAAGAUUUAAUCGUAGGAGAGAGUAUGUGUGGGAAGUAAAACUAUCAUAUCUUUUAGAUAGGAAAAUUUGUAAAGAUAAGAAGCUGGCCACAAAGUGCAAAUGAAGAUCGAAAUCAAACUGAUGGGCAAAGCUUUUGUCUACUUGCGGGACGUCUUGCAGGACAUGGAGUUCUGAUAGAUGGGAAACAUUACUUUUAGUCAUCUAAAGAUUUUAAACUACUAUAUGCAAUACGUGAUAUCUUCGUUGGUUAAACUUGGUAUCUAUAAAUUUGCAAUGAUUCAUCAUUAACCAAUUUUCGAUAUCUUUCCUUUCCCAGGGAUUUGUGGUAGUUGAAACAAACUUCAGAAUGUAUGCUUACUCUACAUCUAGGUUACACUCUGAGAUUUUACGCCUCUUUUCAAGGUAUAUGAGCUUUACAUCAGACAGUUUUUGAAACAUUUUUCCGUUCUAUGUUGUUAUAUUAUUUGGAAAGUGUUUCUCGCUGCAUUCAGUGGUAUUAUCUUGUUCUUAUUAAGAAUAUUUUACAGUUUGUCCUGUCAUUAGUGAAUGUUUCUUCUUGUUAAUGUAUCACAGGAUCGAAUAUCAGCUUCCAAAUCUCAUAGUUGGAGCUAUCACUAAAGAAAGCUUAUAUAAUGCUUUUGAAAAUGGUAUUACUGCAGAACAGGUACGAGAAACUGGUUUUUUGGACUUCUUUUAUAUUUCUGCCCGUAACCAAUGUGUUGUGUGCAUUAGUUUGUCAUUAACUGAUGUUUAGUCUAUGACUUACACAUGUUUUUAGCGUAUAUGUUGCUGUACGUUGUUGAAAUUAGAUUUUUUUUUCAAAAAAAAUAAUCUUUGUCCUCUUAAGGACUUAAUUAAGCUGCACCUUUUCAGAUAGUCUCAUUCCUUCAGCAGAAUGCUCAUCCUAGAGUUGCAGAAAAAAUACCUACAGUUCCAGAGAAUGUUACUGAUCAGGUAAUCAAACACUCUCUCAACAGUGUCAACUUUUUCCUCUCUUUCUUCUUUUUAUUAUGGCGGGUAAUUGCAAAAAUAAAUACACUACUUCAGAUAAGGUUAUGGGAGACAGAUCGAAAUAGAGUUGAGAUGAUCCCAUCCCAUCUCUAUGAAGAUUUUCCUUCAAAGGUAAUAUCAUGAGAUCUCUUGUUUGGAUACCAAAUGUAGGUUAAUUUUAUCUUCCAUUUUUUAUCGACUCUCGACUUACGUAGAUUAUUUCUUUACGUAGGAUCUCUUUGAAGCAUGUUGUGAUUUUGCAAGAGAAUAUAACUGUUUGCUGUGGGAGGACUCGAAGAAGAUGAGGCUUAUAGUCCGAGGAGAAUUCCACCAGCAAAUGCGGGACUUCCUCCGUCGUCCGAAACAGUAGACCAGUCAGUUUUCUUCUUUGUCAGUUUAAAUGAAGCUUUUCCUGAGAAGAAAGAAAUACAUCUAGCUCAGGAAGCCAGUUUACCUCUGAAGCCCUCGGAAGAAUUUGCAAAGUUGAAGUUGCAGAGCCGCUUUCUGCAAACUUCACCACCAAAGUUUUGGAUGAUGUUGCAACGUGCUCACGGAACAUAACAACGAAAGGUUUGCAUCAGAUAUGUAGUUAAGUUAGGCAAAUGAGGUAUUCACUGCAACAAAAAUUCCGAUUGUUUAUUCCGCCUAUAUAAUGAUGCCAAUAGGCGGUCGGAAAAGUAAAAUAUUGUGUAAUCUUCUGUUGUAUUCUAUGAUUUGUUCUGCAUAAGUCUUCAGGACAAUUUGGUAAUUGGAGUAGGAGAAUGUGUGUUUUUAGUAAUCUACUCUGUUUUGACCUAUUGUCAAGUUGUCAUAUGAUAAUUUACAUUACAAUGAUUUAUUGAUUUAUGUUGCAAAAUAUUAUUUCUUAUGUUGAAUUCAAGGACCAUUCAAGUGUCAACCGGUUUUUGGGCCACCACAAUAUUCUCCUACCUUGCUGCAUUUACCUGCUCAUGGUUACUUUUGAGUGCGCUUAGCUUGAAAUGCCCAACAAGAUCAUUCAAAAGAACAGUUCUGAACAAAACUCCCUUUUUGAUACAAAUGUAUUUAAAAGACCUAAAGUUAGAGAAAUAAAAUCAGUUACUUCCCUGCAAUAUGGUAGUUAGAAAGAUAAGUGUUGAAGGAAAUAACUUAAAAAGGACGUACCCAGGCUUAAAAUUUCAUCUAUAUAUCAUGAAAGAUCUAUCAACAUUCAACAAUGAAAAGGUACUAGCAUUGAAAAACAAUCGCUUUUUUAUGUCAAAAGCUACAUUGACGGCAGAGGCAUUACAAUGAUCUACUAAACCAAAAAACAAAAAAGGAAAUCUCACAACAGUCAACAGAACUCACAUAAGCCUCGAGUCUGCUUAUUCUCUACGAGUGCCGCAAAUCUAGAAUCCCUUCGUCGCGGAAUGGUAUAAACUCAAGUUAGGCAAAAUGAGGAAGAGCUCAGGCAAAAAUACAAGCCAUUAUGGGUGUGCAUACUGUCGAGGAAAAAAAACAAAAAAAACUGUUUAGUGAAAGAGAUAGCACCACCCAGCGAGCUUCCAUCAAUGAACGUAUAUGCUGUAACAGUUAUUAUGUUAGUCCUAUGCCGAUGUAGUAGGCAGGUCGUCAGGGGUCGUGAUGAGAUUCGCACGCUGGGGUGGUUCUUUCCUCACCGGGGCAGGCUUGGGAGGCCUGUUUGGUUUGACAGCCUCAACUUCCGUUUUAGGGAUAUCAAACUGCAGUAGAUAAGGAAAACGAGCACGAUCAAUCAAAACUUAAACAUGAGAGAGCUUCAAAAGUAACACAGCUAGACCCUAGACAACAUUCUGCGUAUAAUUAAGACAUUCAGGUUCCCAACUAUCAAAAGAGAACUGUAAAGUAAUCAAAGUCGUAGCUGAACUCAAUACCACUUAGUUAAAGAAGCACAGCUAGUUCGGACAAUAAUAAAAACAUGAAUCAUGGCAAAAGAAAUACCAUUUGGGUAGCUAACACCCAACAGCAGAGAUUUUUCAAUUUACAACAUACACUAAAGCUGGGUUUUUACAAGGUAAAUCUCGUGUUGCAUACUCUUCAAAAGUAAUAAACACAUUGCAGGAAAGACCUAAAACAGUAAAAAUAGGACCAAUGUUUAAAUGCUUUUUGAUUUCUUCAUAGUAUAUUCUACAUCUUAUAUUUGCAAGACAAAUUCUGUUACUUAAUAGCGAAUAUCCAUUUGACAAUGAAUGGAAGGGAAAAUAAACUAAACUUCCAUAAGUACUAACCUUGAAACCACAGCCAGAAACACAAGCACGAAAACAUUCCUGCGUAAAUAAGAAAAUAGUUAAAAUGACAAUGUAGUAGUAGUAUGAUCACGACAAUUUUGUCAUUGUAAGAUGUCUCUCAUAUAGGCAAUCACAGCUUCCUGGUUGUUACCAAUGUGAGUUGCAAAAUGUAGGAAUGAUCAUACAAGUUUGUACCAAAAUAGCUUAACUGUCUCCCAUUCAACCACAGAAAAGAAACCACUUUGAUUCAGUCAAUGUGAUUUCCUGAUUUAAUUUACUCUCACGUUCUACGGCAUUUGUUCCUUACUGCAGUAAAUAUGCCCCUGCUAAUCCUGUCCAUUUUCUCAUGGACUGAGUUAGCUCCAAUUAUUAAUAGAGUAAAGCUUGAUAGUAUGUUGGAUACAUAUCAUAAAUUGAGUAUAUUAAACAAAUAUUUCAAGUUUCAAAACUUUAGUAAGAAGAGAUCAGUUGGUAAGAAGCUAUCCAUUACCAAAGAUUGUUUGAGAAAAGAAAGUAAGAGAAAUCCAGCAAGUAAAGAGGUUAGUUUUGCCAAUAUCUUACCGAUGAUGUGCAUUAAUAUAAUUAGUUAUGAGCAAUAAAGUACAGAAAUAGAGUCUACAAGACUCACCAAAGAGUAACUGUCUUCGCCAGGGGACCUAUCAAUGUAUGCACUCCAUUCGUGAUCCUUCAGAACUGGAUCUUUAUAGCAUAUCUCGUUGCACUCUUCCACACCUGAAGAGUAAAGAAGCAACCAGAUGUUACAAGCAACAAAAAUUAAUAUAACAUGUGCCUCCAAGGUAUAAGAAUACUGUUAUACUCUUACUAAUGCCAAAAUCAUAAAAUAAAGGAUUACUUUUGGAGGGCAAGAAACAAGAUAUAGGUUGAACUGGUAUUUUCUACCACUUGAUAUAUCAUCAUUAGUUCCAUGCAUGGAAUGCAAUGUGUCUAAAUUUCAAAGAGAAGAGAGGGAAAAAAAAAACUUCGCAGCUUUUGCUAAGCUAUAUUUACCAAUACAGAAUAUCGAUUUUAAGUCUGUCGGCAUCAAUUAGAUGAAACUCUACUUCUGAUGGCAAUGCGCAAAGCAUGUGUAUUUUCAACCUUGAUAACUUUUACGAUGAACUGAAUAAGAAAGAGGUAAACCUACCAGAAAUGCCCAAUAUAAAUCAACAUUGAUCAUCAUCUUGCUGUGUUGUGCGGCAUUAUAUUAGUUCAUCUACAUUCAUUUGAUGUUGACAUAAGUUCUUGAUUUAGGAAGUCAUACUGUGAAACACUUGAAGCAUUCAUUCCAACCAUAGCACUAAGGAAAACAUACUAUUUGCACAAAGAACAUUAGCCCAAGGUUGUAAAUGAGUCGUAAUCAUCAAGUUGCAUAUGUUGUAUGAUGCUUCUAAAAUCAUUUCAUGAUUAUAACGGUUCUCGAUUCAGCAAGUCAUUUUCUCGAACACCUAACGUAAAUUCUAACCACAGCAAUACGCAACAUGGCGCAAAGUACAUAUAACCAAAUCAGGCCAACAUUUUGUACUAAGUACAAGAAGCAUAUAACAAAACCUAUCAAGAACCCUAAUCUCUUCCAAAAUAUACUCAUCAUAUCAUCUUCAACAAUAUUUCAAACUGAUAGGCUUCAACACAGGAUCAACAUUAACAAGCCUAGCCUCACAUUAAUAAGAAAUUACAAGAGCAGAAUAAAGAUGAUGCUUACAUUCCUCCCAAGUCUCAGCAUCCGCAUCGCACCCUUUCUUGCAGAAAACUCUCCCUGCAAAGUUACAUACUCAGGAUCAACUCAACAUUCCGCACGCAUCCCACAUACAACCUUAAUCGAACAAAACAGAAUAGGCGAUCACAUUGAUCCUUGCCAUUGUUACUACUCCAAGAACAAUCGAUUCCCCAAAAUCGAUCUAGAGAUGUGUAGAGAGAGAGAGGGAGAGGGAUACGAACAGGGGAUCUGGAGGAGAGCGGAGUACUUCUUGGUGCAGCAGCUCCCGCACGGCGGCGCCCAGUCCUUCGGGAACAUGGCGCCGCCACCGCCGCCUCCGUCUCCGCCGCGUCGCCGCCGCCGCGGUGGUUCGUAAUCGAUCGGAAGGAGGAGAGAGAGGAGAGGAGAGGAGAGGAGAGAGAGAGAGAGAGAGAGAGAGAGAGAGAGGAUGAAAUGGAACGCGUCCGAGGAUGAUGUGCGCAGAGUCCGCCUCUUAAAUAGAAGAGCGUUUUUACACCUUAGUCACUGAAAAUGUUACGAAUUUGUAAAUAUUGCAAUACCAUGGUGCUAUUGUUUACUAAUAAGUCCUUUAAGUUGUUAGUGAAAUAAAAGCAGCAGCUUACUAACUAACGAGAAUUUGGCGCACUUGGAUUUUUUUUAAAAAGAAACUUUUUAGUUCACGCUAAAAAUUCGAUUGAAGAGUACCAAGGGAAAAUAAGGCCUCGUUUUGUGUCUUAUUUAUUUUUUAAAAUAAAUUUUAUAUAUCAAAAUAUUAAGGAGUGAACAUUGAAUUACUUAUUAAAAAAAUGAUAAAUAGUUUAUUUUUUGAUUUCCGGAUAAGAUCCAACAUUUUAAAAUUAUUAUUAUAUAAUAUCAAAUUUUCAAAAAUAUAAAAAUAUUUAAUGGGUAUUUGAUAAAUAUAUUUAUCAAAUAACAAAUGAUUGAUUACUGUUAGGAGGAGAUCAACAUUAUAUUAUAAGUAAAUGACAUUUUAUAAAUAGGCAAGAAUGCAAGAUAUGAUACCGUAGAAAUUUUUAGAAAAGUUAAUAUGCAACUUAUUAUACAAAAUAUUUUGCUUAUCAUAAUAGUAGUGAAAUAUCAUCCAAAAAUAACAUAUACUUUAUUUUUUUAUUGUUGGAUAAAAUUCAACGGUUUAAAAUUAUUAUGUAAUAUCAAACUUUAAAAAAUAAUAAAUAGAAGUUUUCCCAAUAACAAAUAGUAUGAUAUUAUUAGAAAAUUAUUGACAUUAUAUUAUAUAAGUCAAUGGCAUUUUUGAAAAAAAAGAGAAAAAAACUCACUCUGGUAAUAAUAUUACAGAUAUAGAUAUAUAGAGUAAUUCUCCAAAAUAAAAUAAAUUAAAUAUAAAGCACUUACUUUUUUUUAAGGAUCUAGACCAAGGGCUCUAAGUAAAGAAAAGUUCAGAUACCAAAUUGCAAUAUCGGAAUACUAGAGGGACCGUCCAGGCAUUUGACCCAAGCUUUACAAGAUGCGGCUUGUAUAACCGCCUCUUCCAAACCCUAGUUCCACCUCUUCGCAUCGCAUCCCCUUCCCCUCCGCUCCCCAAAACCCUCGCCUUUUCCGUUUCUUCAAAACCCUAGCCAUGGUGAAGAAGAAGAAGGAGAAGCAGGUCAACGUCUCGGGGAAGCCGAAGCACUCGCUCGACGUGAACCGCAGCAAUGGCGGAGGCGACAAGGGAGUCCGCUCCGCGGCCACGGUGCGGCGGCUCAAGAUGUACAACACGAGGCCGAAGCGCGAUCGCAAGGGGAAGGUGUUGAAGCACGAUCUCCAAUCCAAGGAGCUCCCCAACACCCGCAUCGAGCCCGAUCGGCGCUGGUUCGGUGCGCAAUUCUCUGCUAUCUCCCAAUCUAUUCGCAUGCUGUGAUUCUCUCGAUUUUAUGCUAUAUAGUAGGAAUUUGGAGUGAACUAGGGUUAAAAUUAUGUUGACGAUGCUUCAUUUUGCUCGCCUAGCAUGAUUAUUUGAAGCUUUCUAUUGUCAUAUAGCUCUUAAAUCAGUUUCGAAAGCAUGUGUAUAUGUAAUUCACUUUUAAAAUAAGUAGUUGAGGAUGCAACUUGAGAUGAAGAUCGUCCACAAAAUUACUAUAUUUGUUGCGUUUCAGAGUUUAUAAUUUGUUGGACUAUUGUUCUCUACAUUUCUGUUGUUCUUAUUUAUUUAGCAGAGUGUUCUUAUUACUUAAGAAGAUAAGGGUAUGUUAUUUAUCAUGCUGUGCAAGAGUUGUUCUAUGGUUCCUGCGGCAUCUGAUCAAAUGUUUGGGCUGUAGGGAACACGCGAGUUGUGAACCAGAAAGAGCUUGAGUUCUUCAGGGAGGAGCUUCAGAGCCGUCUUUCAAAUAAUUACAAUGUCAUACUGAAGGAGAGGAAGCUGCCCCUGUCGCUUCUAAAUGAUCAUCAAAAGGUAGCUAUGCUUUGAUUAUGAACUCCACUUGCAAGUCAUGGAUUAUACUUUACACUCUGUUUCUAGCGAUUGGUUAUCUAACAGAAAGGUGAAUUUAGCGGCAGAUUAAUUUAUCUUGCUGACGUUUUCAUUAUCCCUUAGAGACACAGUUUCUAAUUUUUUUCUUCAAAAUUCCUUCUAGUUUUCUUGUGAUCAUAUUAAAUGUUGCAAUAGUUUUGGUGAGAUACUAAGUUUUGUUUUUUCCCUUAUAAAUAUGUGAAACAGCAAGCCAAGGCGCAUCUUCUUGAUACUGAGCCUUUCGACCAUGCAUUUGGGCCGAAGAGGAAGAGGAAGCGCCCUAAGCUCUUGGCAUCUGAUUAUGAUUCUUUGGUUAAAAAAGCAGAUGUCUCUCAAGGUAUAGUCUUACUGUAUUGAUUAUGAUUCUUUGGUUAAAAAAGUAGAUGUCUCUCAAGGUAUAGUCUUACUGUAUUAUAAUUUCAUUACCUCUGUUUCAAUUUGAAAUAGCAGAACCAAGCAAAUAUAUUUUUUAAUGCUUGCUGAUUGAUACCGUGUAGAUGCAUUUGAGCAAAAAUCUGCUGCUGCAAACCUAUCUAAGGGGGAGGAAGAGGAAGAUGGUUUACGAGACCUAGUUCGGCAUACAAUGUUCGAAAAGGGGCAGAGCAAGCGAAUAUGGGGUGAACUUUACAAAGUUGUUGAUUCUUCAGAUGUAGUUGUACAGGUUAACUUCUAAUUUGUAUCUUUUCUGCUGUAUGUUUAUGUACUGAUGAAAAUAAUUAGUCUUUCGGUAUCUGCUAAUAUGAAAGAAUAUAUUAACAUGGUGCAUGCAUUUUGUUAUAGAUGUUUAUGCAUUGUGUGGCGCUUUUUUUAACCAUACUAAGUAUGGAAAACCCUCAAGAAUAGGCCAUUAUGAAAUAGAUUCCCUGAACUUUUUUUUUGGU
rnacentral:lncRNA from 1 species